AUUGAACGCUGGCGGCAGGCCUAACACAUGCAAGUCGAGCGGAUGAAGGGAGCUUGCUCCUGGAUUCAGCGGCGGACGGGUGAGUAAUGCCUAGGAAUCUGCCUGGUAGUGGGGGAUAACGUCCGGAAACGGGCGCUAAUACCGCAUACGUCCUGAGGGAGAAAGUGGGGGAUCUUCGGACCUCACGCUAUCAGAUGAGCCUAGGUCGGAUUAGCUAGUUGGUGGGGUAAAGGCCUACCAAGGCGACGAUCCGUAACUGGUCUGAGAGGAUGAUCAGUCACACGGGAACUGAGACACGGUCCAGACUCCUACGGGAGGCAGCAGUGGGGAAUAUUGGACGAUGGGCGAAAGCCUGAUCCAGCCAUGCCGCGUGUGUGAAGAAGGUCUUCUGAUUGUAAAGCACUUUAAGUUGGGAGGAAGGGCAGUAAGUUAAUACCUUGCUGUUUUGACGUUACCAACAGAAUAAGCACCGGCUAACUUCGUG
rnacentral:rRNA from 1 species